rnacentral:rRNA from 1 species
GGAAUAUUGGGCAAUGGAGGGAACUCUGACCCAGCCAUGCCGCGUGAGUGAGAAGGUCUUCGGAUUGUAAAGCUCUUUCGGAUGGGCCGAUGAUGACGGUACCAUCUAAAGAAGCCCCGGCAAACUUCGUGCCAGCAGCCGCGGUAAUACGAAGGGGGCGAGCGUUGUUCGGAAUUACUGGGCGUAAAGGGAGUGUAGGCGGCUGAGUGAGAUAGCGGUGAAAUCCCAGGGCUUAACCUUGGAAUUGCCAUUAUUACUAUUUGGCUAGAAUGAUAGAGAGGAUAUCGGAAUACCCAGUGUAGAGGUGAAAUUCGUAGAUAUUGGGUAGAACACCGGUGGCGAAGGCGGGUAUCUGGCUAUUAAUUGACGCUGAGGCUCGAAAGCAUGGGGAUCAAACA